rnacentral:rRNA from 1 species
UGGGGAAUAUUGGGCAAUGGACGCAAGUCUGACCCAGCAACGCCGCGUGAAGGAAGAAGGCUUUCGGGUUGUAAACUUCUUUGUCAGGGAACAGUAGAAGAGGGUACCUGACGAAUAAGCCACGGCUAACUACGUGCCAGCAGCCGCGGUAAUACGUAGGUGGCAAGCGUUGUCCGGAUUUACUGGGUGUAAAGGGCGUGCAGCCGGAGAGACAAGUCAGAUGUGAAAUCCGCGGGCUUAACCCGCGAACUGCAUUUGAAACUGUUUCCCUUGAGUAUCGGAGAGGUAAUCGGAAUUCCUAGUGUAGCGGUGAAAUGCGUAGAUAUUAGGAAGAACACCAGUGGCGAAGGCGGAUUACUGGACGACAACUGACGGUGAGGCGCGAAAGCGUGGGGAGC